CGCAGGCGGUCUGUCAAGUCGGAUGUGAAAUCCCCGGGCUCAACCUGGGAACUGCAUUCGAAACUGGCAGGCUUGAGUCUUGUAGAGGGGGGUAGAAUUCCAGGUGUAGCGGUGAAAUGCGUAGAGAUCUGGAGGAAUACCGGUGGCGAAGGCGGCCCCCUGGACAAAGACUGACGCUCAGGUGCGAAAGCGUGGGGAGCAAACAGGAUUAGAUACCCUGGUAGUCCACGCCGUAAACGAUGUCUACUUGGAGGUUGUGCCCUUGAGGCGUGGCUUCCGGAGCUAACGCGUUAAGUAGACCGCCUGGGGAGUACGGCCGCAAGGUUAAAACUCAAAUGAAUUGACGGGGGCCCGCACAAGCGGUGGAGCAUGUGGUUUAAUUCGAUGCAACGCGAAGAACC
rnacentral:rRNA from 3 species